CAUUGGAAUGUCCCAAAAUGCUAAGAUAACAACAUUGUCCAAAUGCAAAAUACAUUCUUAAAGCACUCAACCUGACCCACUGAGCCAGUGUUAGAGCAAGGCAAUGCAGUCUUGCAAUAUGCUGGGUGCCUCCUAGAAAGGUGGUGCUUAAAGGGAAGGGCUGCUGAAGGCCAUGAGCGCAGUGCAGGUGAUGCUCAGCAUCUUGCAGGAUGAAUCCCCUUUGAAAUGAACAGACCCUCUCUAGAUGGUGUCAUUUAUUUUAUCACAGCUUCCCAAAUAAACCAGUUCCCAGAGGAACCUCGUGUUAUUAAAGUGCUGAGAACAGCCCAUUUCUUGGAGGGGAAGGUCUCUUCAGGCUGCAGGCUUCAGCUGCUAAACCUGGAUAUCACCAGAAGUGCUGAGCUAAACUGAUGUGAUGACACAUUUGCCUGUGUGGCUUCCUGCAGAUGGCACAGAAAUUUUGUGAUCAAAUGUAGGGAACCUGUACCAGCCAGGAGGCUUAUCCCCGUGUGGCUUACAGCUCCGUGUUUAGCCUUGUCUGCUGGGAACCAGGCCUGAUCCACUGCCUCAUGCUGGAAGGGACUCAGGUCUAAACACUAGUCUAGCUGGUUUAACCGUGUGAUACCAUCUUUGCCAUGCAACAUGUGGGCUGGCUCCUCAUCUGGCUGCAGAGCAACGUCUCACAGGUCUCCAGUUCUCCGGCAAAAACCACAGCUUGCAGGUGGAACUGUGCUCUUCAUCCCACCGCCACCUUUGCAACCUGCAGGAAGAGUUCAGGUCACACGCAGCACAAAUCCAGAUGGUCACCUGAACCCAGACGCUGCCACAGAAGUUGCUUUCCCUCAGAGGUGCUCCUUGGGAGGCUGUGUCAUGCCUCCCACCCCUUAGCAUCAACAAAUCAUCCCAACUGUCCCAGGGCCUAUACAUGCAACCAUCUGCCGAAGGGCCAAGACAGUCAUAUCCCAAACGCAUGAAGGGGACCCACCAUGGCCCCUUGUCUCCUACACCACCGCUGCUGCCACGCACAGCCCUCCUCUUGCCUCCUCCAGCACUCCAUUCCUCUCUAGGAUGCUGCAAAAAUGGGUAUUCAUAAUUAGUUUGGGGUUUUAAUAAAAUCCGCUUAUUCAUUCUCUGGCAGGGUUUGUUUGUGACUUUAUUAAAACACACACACACACAAACU